UACAGAGGGGGCAAGCGUUAUUCGGAAUUAUUGGGCGUAAAGGGCGCGUAGGCGGCGAUUCAAGUGACGGGUGAAAUCCCUCGGCUUAACCGAGGAACUGCCUGUCAAACUGCAUGGCUUGAGACCGGGAGAGGUGAGUGGAAUUCCCAGUGUAGCGGUGAAAUGCGUAGAUAUUGGGAGGAACACCAGUGGCGAAGGCGGCUCACUGGACCGGUACUGACGCUGAUGCGCGAAAGCGUGGGGAGCAAACAGG
rnacentral:rRNA from 1 species